CCUACGGGUGGCAGCAGUGAGGAAUAUUGGUCAAUGGGCGAGAGCCUGAACCAGCCAAGUCGCGUGAGGGAGUACUGCCCUAUGGGUUGUAAACCUCUUUUGUCGGGGAGCAAAAGCCGGACGUGUCCGGCUGUGAGAGUACCCGGAGCAAAAGCAUCGGCUAACUCCGUGCCAGCAGCCGCGGUAAUACGGAGGAUGCGAGCGUUAUCCGGAUUUCCUUGGUGUAAAGGGGGCGAAGACGGCGAAGCAAGCCAGGAGUGAAAGCCCGGGGCCCAACCCCCGGAGUGCUCUUGGAACUGGGUGGCUGGAGUGCAGGAGGGGCAGGCGGAAUUCCUGGUGUAGCGGUGAAAUGCGUAGAUAUCAGGAGGAACACCGGUGGCGAAGGCGGCCUGCUGGACUGCAACUGACGUUGAGGCCCGAAAGCGUGGGGAGCAAACAGGAUUAGAUACCCGGGUAGUC
rnacentral:rRNA from 1 species